rnacentral:rRNA from 1 species
GUAGGUGAACCUGCGGAAGGAUCAUUACAGUAGUCGCCCGGGUUGCCGCAAGGCCUCCCGGGUAACCUACCACCCUUUGUUUAUUACACUUUGUUGCUUUGGCAAGCCUGCCCUCGGGCUGCUGGCUCCGGCCGGCGAGCGCUUGCCAGAGGACCUAAACUCUGUUUGUUUAUACUGUCUGAGUACUAUAUAAUAGUUAAAACUUUCAACAACGGAUCUCUUGGUUCUGGCAUCGAUGAAGAACGCAGCGAAAUGCGAUAAGUAAUGUGAAUUGCAGAAUUCAGUGAAUCAUCGAAUCUUUGAACGCACAUUGCGCCCCCUGGUAUUCCGGGGGGCAUGCCUGUCCGAGCGUCAUUACAACCCUCAAGCUCAGCUUGGUGUUGGGCCCCGCCGCCCCGGCGGGCCCUAAAGUCAGUGGCGGUGCCGUCCGGCUCCGAGCGUAGUAAUUCUUCUCGCUCUGGAGGUCCGGUCGUGUGCUCGCCAGCAACCCCCAAUUUUUUUCAGGUUGACCUCGGAUCAGGUAGGGAUACCCGCUGAACUUAAGCAUAUCAAUAAGCGGAG